UACGUAGGGUGCGAGCGUUAAUCGGAAUUACUGGGCGUAAAGCGUGCGCAGGCGGGCUUUUAAGCCAGACGUGAAAUCCCCGGGCUUAACCUGGGAAUGGCGUUUGGGACUGGAAGUCUGGAGUGCGGCAGAGGGGGAUGGAAUUCCGCGUGUAGCAGUGAAAUGCGUAGAUAUGCGGAGGAACACCGAUGGCGAAGGCAAUCCCCUGGGCCUGCACUGACGCUCAUGCACGAAAGCGUGGGGAGCAAACAGG
rnacentral:rRNA from 1 species